rnacentral:rRNA from 1 species
CCUACGGGUGGCAGCAGUGAGGAAUAUUGGUCAAUGGACGAGAGUCUGAACCAGCCAAGUAGCGUGAAGGAUGACUGCCCUAUGGGUUGUAAACUUCUUUUAUAUGGGAAUAAAACGUUCCACGUGUGGGAUUUUGUAUGUACCAUAUGAAUAAGGAUCGGCUAACUCCGUGCCAGCAGCCGCGGUAAUACGGAGGAUCCGAGCGUUAUCCGGAUUUAUUGGGUUUAAAGGGAGCGUAGGUGGAUUGUUAAGUCAGUUGUGAAAGUUUGCGGCUCAACCGUAAAAUUGCAGUUGAAACUGGCAGUCUUGAGUACAGUAGAGGUGGGCGGAAUUCGUGGUGUAGCGGUGAAAUGCUUAGAUAUCACGAAGAAUUCAGAUUGCGAAGGCAGUUCACUGGACUGCAACUGACACUGAGGCUCGAAAGUGUGGGUAUCAAACAGGAUUAGAUACCCGAGUAGUC